UACGUGAGGGGCUAGCGUUGUCCGGAUUAUUGGGCGUAAAGAGCGUGUAGGCGGCCAGGUAGGUCUGCUGUGAAACUCGAGGCUCCAACCUCGAGACGUCGGCGGAAACCAUCUGGCUAGAGUCCGGAAGAGGAGAGUGGAAGUUCCUGGAUGUAGCGGUGAAAUGCGCAGAUAUCAGGAAGAACACCCGUGGCGAAGGCGGCUCUCGUGGGCAUGAUCUGACGCUGAGGAGCGAAAAGUGUGGGGAGGCGAACAGG
rnacentral:rRNA from 1 species